rnacentral:lncRNA from 10 species
UAAAAACAAAGCAUCUUUCUCAUUCUGCCUUUACAUCUAUUUAUAUUAUGUUAUACACUAUCUCCACUGCAAACAUAAAUUUUCAAAUAAUAAUAAUAUAAAGGUUGGAUGACUGUCUAUUUUACUAUCAAUUGAUCCUGAAAAACAACUUUAAUCGGGGUUAUACUGUGUUAAGGGUCCUCAGAGCUGCAUGAGUCUUACCUGUAAAGAGGACCCAGAGGCUCACAACAUGAAAUGACUCUGGGAUGUGUAAAAAGCAUUGAUCUACAAGAGACAUUGAAAUCAUUUAGUAUAAAACCUUCACUUUAUGGAUAAAG